rnacentral:lncRNA from 1 species
UUAAAAAUAAAAAUUGACCCGGUGAAUUAUUCUCGACGGGACUGUCUCGUGGCCAAAAUACUUACUCUUGAUAGUUCUGGUCGAGUUUUAAUUAUUAUGGUCAAAUUUUAUUCAAACUGGAAGAUUUUAUAUAAAAGCAAGACAAGAUUCGAUGGACGAGAAAACGUUUGGUCGAGAACUGGCUAGGAAUAGUUUGAGCUGCUUGUUAAUUUAAAUCAGUCAUGUGAGU